rnacentral:rRNA from 1 species
UACGUAGGGUGCGAGCGUUGUCCGGAAUUAUUGGGCGUUAAAGGGCUCGUAGGCGGUUUGUCGCGUCGGGAGUGAAAUCCACUGGCUUAACUGGUGGCUUGCUUUCGAUACGGGCAGACUGGAGGUAUGCAGGGAGAACGGAAUCCUGGUGUAGCGGUGAAAUGCGCAGAUAUCAGGAGGAACACCUAUUGCGAAGGCAGCUCGCUGGGACGUAACUGACGCUGAGACGCGAAAGCGUGGGGAGCAAACAGG